GCGCUUGCUUCGGCAGCACAUAUACUAAAAUUGGAAUGGUACAGAGAAGAAUAGCAAGGCCCCUGGGCAAAGAUGACAUGCAAAUCCUUGAAGCAUUCCAUAUUUAA
ensembl:snRNA U6 U6 spliceosomal RNA